AACGGCCAUACCAUGCUGAAUAUACCGGUUCUCGUUAGAUCACCGAAGUCAAGCAUCAUUGGGUGAGGUCAGUAUUUGAGCGGGUGACCACCUGGGAACACCGCGUGCCGUU